UGUUUGCGUAUUUGUUUUAGGGCAGAUCGAGUGUGACUUAGGUAAUAUGAUUGCAUUCGCAGGAAUUCACAGAGAUGAAAACACAGAUCUGAGAUCGUGCCAGAACGCAUAAGAAGUUCCCAAUGCAUAAGAGUAGAGCACGAGAACGCUAAAACGUUCAGAGUUGCAUCUUGUGUCGAUGAGGAACUCAGAAGUGUUCUCCUUUCUGGGCUUUUUGACCCAUCCAAGACGAUAAAGCAGGUUCUCGAUCAUCUCUCCCCCAUCUUAUCUUGCUUCUUUUGCCUCCUUUUUAUCAUCACCAAAUACUUUGAGCAGCUGUAGGUGUUAUGGGUUAAAUAGUUUCUGGGUGGUUGGCCAUUUGGCCAGAGGGCAUCUGAGCAUCACCUGUGGUCAGCACUUUUUGGCUCAUGCGCGUUAGCAGUUUGGGACGUCAUAGGGAAUCCCCGAGGACAGAUGAGGUGGGGGAAGAGGCCAUACAUUUGGGCUUUCGUGCAUGUCAGGGUGGGGCUAAGUUGGAAACGUGGUAAUGAGGGAAGAUUUCCUAGAGAGACCGAUAGUGCCCAGGAUCCUGUGCCGGCAAUGGCUGCCACUUUCUGGCUGGGUGAUCAUGGGCAUAGCUGAGAAUAUAAAAAGUGUGAAUAAAUGAACAUGGUGUUGGAGAGAAGAGAAACAUUAUGUGCUAUUCCAUCGGCAACGGGAGAUGCCUGUUUCGUGAGAUUGCGGUGCAGGUCACAAAAUGCUGACUCGGGAAAUCACAGACGACGGUUGGCCGACUUUCCCACCCGCAGACCGAGGGUCCCACCCCGCGCGUGGCCCUCUGGCAUUCCGCCGGUAAGGGUGCCUUCUGCAAAAAGACACAUCGCAGCCAAGUCCGAAGAAGAAUGUUCUUUCAUUUGCCCCGUGGUGGGAAUAGUGACCAGGGCUGACGCACCGGGCUGUAGAUGGGUCGAGCUAAGCGGUUCCUAUGAACAGUGUUCCGAGUCGGAAAACGUGGCACCGCUCAGCUCGGGGACCCGCUGUUUGUAAAACGAGGAACACCUAGAACAUCCCUGAAACUCCUUCUAGCUGUAAAACAUUCUGAUCCAUGAUCAAGGGAAAGAGGAAAGCCUCUGGGUGUCUCAUUUUCCUCAUCUGUAGAUGGAGGAAAUACUAGGUGAUAACUGUACCCGGCCCAUCGGGCCAUUUGCAGAUGAAAUGUGUCUGUAAAAAAACAAAAAGACUUUAUAAUGGGCCAAGGAAGCACACAGAAGUACUUGCUUCCUUAUUCAGCCCCAAAUUGCGGCAAGUUCAGUCUCUAGCAAUCACAGUGCACAUUCUAGUUCGCAUAUACUUUUAUGUCUCGAAGGCUCCCACAAGGGCCAUUUGCUAAUGCCCGACAAGAGAUUCCAAACAGGUGAACUGGCCUAGAGGCUGCAACUUUACCCCAGGGGCCUGGCAGUCUUAGGCAUUUACGUAACAAUUAGCUACGAGUGAAAUCUUUCUCGAAUGAUACCCACAGUUGUGCUUUUCCUUGCAACAGUUCUAUGAAACAGGUCGAGAUCGUUUCUUCUGACUUUGCGCCUGGGAAAACUCGUGGACCAGAAGGUUUAGUUGCUUUUCCAGAAUGUGUCAAUAGGGAGAGCAGCUUGGGCCUGGAACUGGCUAGAUCCUGGCUAAGUAGACCCUGGGGUCUCUACCGCUCGUACCUUUGAGAAGAGAGUCGCCUCUUGCUUUCUGUCAAGUAUUUGCCCCAGACUGCUGUACCUGCUAUGAGAUUGCAGGUUAAUGAAGGCCAGACGGGAAGCCUCUGUCUUCUUUUCUUUCAAGAGACCCUGGACCUGUAUCCCAGCUUUGUUCGGAGUCAAGGAGGAAAUUCCUUCAUCGCUAACUUCACUGUCUGAGCCUGAACCAGAAGGAAUAACAACAUGUGCGAUUUUAACUGUUUUCAGCAUCUGUUAUGACACAAUCCGUGAAGCCUUUUGUUAAUUUUCCUGACGAUUACCUCCCGCUCAUAUACUUUCCCCACAGCUGUCUGGCCCUUUUCCUGGGCCAGCCCGACACUCUAAAGUAACAGGAUUUCUGAAAUCCCAACUGCGCUCCGUCGCCAAAGACGACUUUUGCUCACUGGGGCCCGGCGAGUUGUUUUAAAACACCAGCCCGUGCCAGGUAACAAGGCAAAGAGCUACGACUCUCUCACAACCGAGGGUAAUUCAUCAACUUGGAGGGGGCCAGAUAGAAACGGCGAGAUCCUCAACUUCCUCAAAACCCCUUUCUAGCCCUCCAAACGAAAAGUCUCAAGUGCAGAAACAUAUUUGUCACAACGUGGAAAUCUCGCGAGCCAUCACCACGGCUCCCCGUGUGGAUACUAACUUUCUGUCCCAAAUUGUAAAAUGUAUCGGCAUGUGCAGUAAGGCGAUACCACGGUUUCUUAGAACCCGCGUCCCGCUUUAGGGAGAAGUAAGAGUAAGGCAGGGAAUUUUGAGUAUGAGUCUCCUUCUUAUGGGUGGAAAACUGUCUGCCACAGAUUUGGGUAGAGGGAAAAGGUCCCUGACGUUUGGACGGACCGAGUUCCUCAUGUGCAGCCCGGAAGAGGUUUUCCCCGGACAGCGGUGGGGAUGUAGUUAGUGUUCCCAAGAACUCCUUGGUGGAGAUUUUUACGUCUGGGACACGCCUCUCCCAGGGGACUGUGUGCUGAUCUGGAGGAGGACACGUCAGCCACCGAUCCGGAACCUCCUUAUGCCCUUUCUAGACGUACUUCUGUGGUAUUUUGGAGAACAGUAACUAUGUAGGCUCCGCCGUGCACCCCUGGUGUAGCUGUGCAUCAGCAGCCCACGGUAGGCUCUGGGGUCAACAUGAUGUUGGCCUAUUUGGGAUACGACGGCACGUGAAGCUUUAUGUUUCGAUCCACCUCUCCACGAGAAAGCCUUCUAAAGAGAGCAACAGUUAUGGCACGUUGUCACAGAGAGGGUCUCAGUAAUUUUUAUGUUUCUUUUUUUUAAAAUUUUUUGUAAUAUUUUAUUUAUUUUUGAGACAGGGAGAGACAGAGCAUGAACGGAGCAUGAACAGGGAGAGACAGAGAGAGGGAGACACAGAAUCUGAAACAGGCUCCAGGCUCUGAGCUGUCAGCACAGAGCCCGACGUGGGGCUCGAACUCACGAACCGUGAGAUCAUGACCUGAGCCGAAGUCGGAUGCUUAACCGACUGAGCCACCCAGGCGCCCCUAAUUUUUAUGUUUCCGAUUUGACUUUGCCUUCACCUCCCACCAAGCCCAGGAUCCGAGAUGCCGUGAAAUUUCUCACACGGUAAAGCUGGAUCAUGGAAUGGCACGUCAAACCUAAGUCCUUUUCCAUUGUUUUUCCACCACCGAGAAUUAUUUAAAAAGAUCUCUGUGGCCAGGACAGUAGGGAUCCUGCAUUAUCUAUCGCAAGGUCAGGAAGAAAAAUUAUUAAGAAGUUCAAGCCCAGGGGCGCCUGGGUGGCUCCGUUGGUUAAGCGCCCAACUCUCGGUUUCCACUCGGGUCAUGAUCUCGAGGUUCAUGAGUUCAAGCACCAUGUCGGGCUCCCUGCUGACAGUGCAGAGCCUGCUUGGGAUUCUCUCUCUCUCUCCUCUCUCUCUCUCCCCCCCCCCCCCCCACCUUUCCCCUGCUUGCUUUCUCUCUCUCUCUCUCUCUCUCAAAAUAAAUAAAUAAACUUAAAAAAAAAGUCCA
rnacentral:lncRNA from 1 species